UACGUAGGGUGCAAGCGUUGUCCGGAAUUAUUGGGCGUAAAGAGCUCGUAGGCGGUCUGUCACGUCGGCUGUGAAAUCCCGAGGCUCAACCUCGGGUCUGCAGUCGAUACGGGCAAACUAGAGUAUUGCAGGGGAGACUGGAAUUCCUGGUGUAGCGGUGAAAUGCGCAGAUAUCAGGAGGAACACCGGUGGCGAAGGCGGGUCUCUGGGCAAUAACUGACGCUGAGGAGCGAAAACGUGGGGAGCGAACAGG
rnacentral:rRNA from 1 species